GGUUCCAUGGUGUAAUGGUUAGCACUCCGGAUUCUGAAUCCGGAACAGUGGUGUAAGAACUACACGGUUCCUGUGUGUUUAAGUGCUAGAUAACUUAUAGGUACCA
rnacentral:tRNA from 1 species